rnacentral:rRNA from 1 species
AUACGGAGGGUGCAAGCGUUGUUCGGAAUUACUGGGCGUAAAGCGCGCGUAGGCGGUCUGUUAUGUCAGAUGUGAAAGUCCUCUGCUCAACCGGGGAAGUGCAUUUGAAACUGGCAGACUUGAGUACUGGAGGGGGUAGUGGAAUUCCCGGUGUAGAGGUGAAAUUCGUAGAUAUCGGGAGGAAUACCGGUGGCGAAGGCGACUACCUGGCCAGAUACUGACACUGAGGUGCGAAAGCGUGGGGAGCGAACAGGAUUAGAAACCCCAGUAGUCC